UAAAGUAUGGCUCAAAUGUUAGAGCAUCUGCCUUGCAAGUGGGAAGCUUUGAGUUCAGAUCCUAGUACUAUCA
rnacentral:tRNA from 1 species